rnacentral:rRNA from 1 species
GAUGAACGCUAGCGGCAGGCUUAAUACAAGCAAGUCGAGGGGCAGCAUGAGUGUAGCAAUACAUUUGAUGGCGACCGGCAAACGGGUGCGGAACACGUACACAGCCUUCCUAUAAGUGGGGAAUAGCCCAGAGAAAUUUGGAUUAAUACCCCGUAACAUAAUGAUGUGGCAUCACAUUAUUAUUAUAGCUUCGGCGCUUAUUGAUGGGUGUGCGGCUGAUUAGAUAGUUGGCGGGGUAACGGCCCACCAAGUCUACGAUCAGUAGCUGAUGUGAGAGCAUGAUCAGCCAAACGGGAACUGAGACACGGGCCCGACUCCUACGGGAGGCAGCAGUUAGGAAUAUUGGUCAAUGGACGCAAGUUUGAACCAGCCAUGCCGCGUGAAGGAUUAAGGUCCUCUGGAUUGUAAACUUCUUUUAUCUGGGACGAAAAAAGGCGAUUCUUCGUCACUUGACGGUACCAGAUGAAUAAGCACCGGCUAACUCCGUGCCAGCCGCCGCCGUAACAC